rnacentral:lncRNA from 1 species
UCAGAACUCAACAUGGACAUGAGGGCCCAUACUCAGUUUAUUGGGUUCUUGUGGCUCUGGUUUGCAGGUGCCAGAUGCGACAUCCAGAUGACCCAGUCUCCAUCCUCCAUGUCUGCAUCUCUGGGAGACAGAGUCACUAUUACUUGCCGGGCAAGUCAAGACAUUGGAAAUUAUUUAAGCUGGUUCCAACAGAAACCAGGGAAAUCUCCUAGGCGUAUGAUUUAUGGUGCAACCAACUUGGCAGCUGGGGUCCCAUCAAGGUUCAGUGGAAGUAGGUCUGGAUCAGAUUAUUCUCUGACCAUCAGCAGCCUGGAGUCUGAAGAUAUGGCGAUCUAUUACUGUCUACAGUCUAUACAGUAUCCUCCCACAGUGAUACAAGUGAUAACAUAAACCCCAAGGAAGCAGAAGUGAGAGUCUUGGUUGUCCUAUCUGUCUCUCUUCAUGAUUCACCCACUCUAAGCAUUUUUCAGAAGUCACAAUCAGAAUCUGACAGUACAUCAAAAAGGCAGUACUUGAGUAAGUCCAUUACUUAAAGACCAGGUGAUUUGUAUUUCUAAUUAAAGCUACGC